rnacentral:rRNA from 1 species
AUUGAACGCUGGCGGCAGGCCUAACACAUGCAAGUCGAACGGUUACAGUUAUCCGCUUGCUGCUUUGCUGACGAGUUGCGGACUUGUGAGUAAUGUCUGGGAAACUGCCUGAUGGAGGGGGAUACCUACUGGAAACGGUAGCUAAUACCGCCUAACGUCGCAAGACCAAAGAGGGGGACCUUCGGGCCUCUUGCCUUCGGAUGUGCCCAGAUGGGAUUAGGUAGUAGGUGGGGUUACUGCUCACCUAGGCGACGAUCUCUAGCUGGAAUGACAGGAUGACAAGCACGCCUGGAAGUGAGACAAGGUCAAGAGUCGUAGGGGAGGCAGAAGAGGGGAAAAUUGAACAAAGGGCGCAAGCGGGAUGCAGACAGGCAGCGUGUAUGAAGAAGGCCUUCGGGUUGUAAAAUACUUUCAGAGGGGAGGAAGGGAAUAAAGUUAAGACCUUAGCUCAUUGACGUUACCCGCAGAAGAAGCACCGGCUAACUCCGUG